rnacentral:rRNA from 1 species
CCUACGGGAGGCAGCAGUGGGGAAUAUUGCACAAUGGGGGAAACCCUGAUGCAGCAACGCCGCGUGAGUGAAGAAGUAUUUCGGUAUGUAAAGCUCUAUCAGCAGGGAAGAGAAUGACGGUACCUGACUAAGAAGCCCCGGCUAACUACGUGCCAGCAGCCGCGGUAAUACGUAGGGGGCAAGCGUUAUCCGGAUUUAGUGGGUGUAAAGGGAGCGUAGACGGGGGUACAAGUCUGAAGUGAAAGCCCGUGGCUCAACCGCGGAACUGCUUUGGAAACUGUAAAGCUGGAGUACUGGAAGGGAAGGCGGAAUUCAUAGUGUAGCGGUGAAAUGCGUAGAUAUUAGGAGGAACACCAGUGGCGAAGGCGGCCUGCUGGACAGAAACUGACGUUGAGGCUCGAAAGCGUGGGGAGCAAACAGGAUUAGAUACCCCUGUAGUC